rnacentral:rRNA from 1 species
UUGACGGGCCCCGCACAAGCAGCGGAGCGUGUGGUUUAAUUCGAUGCUACACGAAGGACCUUACCAGGGUUUGACAUACAAGUAGUAGGGAAAGGAAACUGGACCGACCCUUCGGGGAGCUUGUACAGGUGCUGCAUGGCUGUCGUCAGCUCGUGUCGUGAGAUGUUCGGUUAAGUCCGCUAACGAGCGCAACCCUCGCUGUGUGUUACAAGUGUCACACGGAACUGCCGGUCAUAAACCGGAGGAAGGUGGGAUGACGUCAAGUCAGCAUGGCCUUUAUAUCCUGGGCUACACACACGCUACAAUGGGAAGGGACAAUAGGUUGCGAAGCCGCGAGGCGGAGCCAAUCCAGCAAAACUUCCCUCAGUUCAGAUUGCAGGCUGCAACCCGCCUGCAUGAAGUUGGAGUUGCUAGUAACCGCAGGUCAGCAAUACUGCGGUGAAUACGUUCCCGGGUCUU